CCUCCUUUCAUCAUUGCCCCUAGAUUAAGAAGGGUCUUCAGAGACCAAAGGUGUCAGGGAGGGCCAGAAAGAGAAGCCCCUAGACAUGGGGACAGAACAGAGUGGUGGGAAACUUUGUAGGAAGCUGUGUGUGGGUGUGGGUGUGUGGGUGUGAGUGUGUGUGUUUUCCCGGAUGAACCUCAUUCUCCUGCUUCCUCUCUGUCUCAAGCUGUGACACCUCAGGGUCCCACCUUUUAGGGUAAGGGCAGCAGAGCUUGGAGGCCCAGUGGAGGAAAGGCACGGAUGUGAGGCAACGGGGACUAACCACUGGAACACCACACCCGCACAUCUGGGACUGAGGGCAGAGUCACCUCCCUCUCAUCUCCUGCUAGUUGUGACCAUUGAAUCUGGGAUCCCUUUCAAGACUGGGUGCUAGAGAACCCAGCACCUGAAGUCUGUCGUUGCAUCUCUUGGGGUCUGAAUGCCAGGACUCAUGGGUUAGGAUUCCUAGACAACUGGACCCUGAGUCACCUGGCUUCGUCUCUCCAGGGAGCUAGGGCAAGGGACACCAGGCGUUUUGCCUUCUGAGGCAUUCAGUACUCAUCCUGGGUGCAGUGGAGACUGGACGUUGGAAGCACAGGAGUCUGUCUGGAGCGUAUAUGUGUCUGCUCUCCUCACCAUGCACCUACCUGUGAUUCUCGGUGUGCAUUCAGGGGUGCCUUUCUGUGUGCAUGUGUGUCUGUGGGUACAUGGGUGUGUCUGGGGACGUGAUGUCUCUGUGUGACCAUGGUGAGUUGCAUACUGUGUGUAUACACGAAGUCUGUACACCUGGGUGUUGUCUCUAAGUGUACACGUGGCUAUUUAUUCAACAAACGUUUACUGAGCACCUACUGUGUGCUGUGCUCUAUUCUAAGCCCCAGGGAGGGAUACAAGCAGCAAACACUCCCCCUGCCCUGUGUUUCCUACUCUAGUGCUCAUGAGGGGUAAGUGCCCUGCGCACACCUGUUGCAACUAACUUCUUGCAACUGCACCUGCACGUUACAAAACAUAAGCUUAUGCUGCCUGACCUCAAGUAGACGUUCUCUGUCGGCCCCUGCGAAAAUUCCUUCCUGUCGGUGACCUGACUUUGCCUGGGCCGUGGGGGCUCCUCCUCCAAGGGGGGCAGGGCGGGGAGGGUCUCAGGGCUCUGGGCUGAGAGAUGGUUCAGGGCCCAGCCCUGACCCUGGAGCUGCUGGGGUCUUGGGGCCCUGGAGCGUCCCAUCCACUGCCCAGACUGACCCUGAUCCUAGAUGACGCUUCAUUUUGGGGGUGUGUGGCAGAAUGACCCGGAAACUUCCUGGGGAGGUCAGAGACCUGAGGGUGACCAUCAAGGUGGCCUCAAACGUGAGUGUCACUUCUCUUCCUGGAGGCGGUCGCCAGCCUUGGGUGGCGGUGUCAUUAAAGGAAGCCUAGGCCCCCUUCUCGGAGGAAAGGGUGGGAGACAGCUUGGGACGAGGCGGGGUGGGGCAGAAGACAGUCGCGGU